GAUUUCAGGCGACAAGGACCAUGGAGUUGAAGGAAGCAUGGAGGAUGAGAGAUUAUUUCUAAGAUUAUUUUUAGAACCCCAGGAAUCUUUAUUUUUGAUGAGACAGAAGAAAAUAGCAUUUCUUUUUAACGCAAAAGACCAGAGAAUAUUCAAAUAUUAGUUUCAAUCCUGUUCCUUUAGUAAUGGUCCUCCUGUAUCAGGACAGCUCUGGUUCAAAGAGUUUUCUGUUUGUGGGGUGGGUGAUUCACAGGUUCUUUUCUCCUCAGAACUAAAGAAAAAAAAUAAAGUUUUCUUUAGCAUUUUAGGGGACCUUUCUAUUAGGCUCAUCCUUGCUUCCUUGAUGGGGCUCAUCAUUCAUUCAUUCACUCAUUCAUUCAUUCAUUCAUUCAUUCAUUCCGCCAAAUAGCCAGAACGAAUAUUUCUUUCAUCCCGGCUCAUUUCUUCAUCUCCCUCCUUUUCUUGCUACUGCAUGAGUCCAAAACAAAAUCUCCCUCCUCCUAGAAAUUAAAAAAACAAAACAAAACAAAAACCAGGCAUUUGAAAUAUUUGCAUCCUUCAAGUGGACUCGCUUCUCUCCACACUUGUAGUACUUGGCAAACAGAAGCAGUGGCAGCCUCAGCCUCGGAGGCAUCCCGUACGUCCUGGCCAGCCCAGUUUACGCCAUGGAACAGAGGGAAAAUCCACCGAGGUUGCGAUCCAAAAGAUCCUGUCAUUCUUGGGGAGGUAGCUGAGGAGAUAUAUUUUGGGAUUCAAAGGCUCUGAAAUAAAACUAAUCCUAUUCCACUCA
rnacentral:lncRNA from 1 species